rnacentral:rRNA from 1 species
GACGAACGCUGGCGGCGUGCUUAACACAUGCAAGUCGAACGGUAAGGCCCUUCGGGGUACACGAGUGGCGAACGGGUGAGUAACACGUGGGUGAUCUGCCCUGCACUUCGGGAUAAGCCUGGGAAACUGGGUCUAAUACCGGAUAGGACCACUGCCUGCAUGGGUGGUGGUGGAAAGCUUUUGCGGUGUGGGAUGGGCCCGCGGCCUAUCAGCUUGUUGGUGGGGUGAUGGCCUACCAAGGCGACGACGGGUAGCCGGCCUGAGAGGGUGACCGGCCACACUGGGACAGAGAUGCGGCCCAGACUCCUACGGGAGGCAGCAGUGGGGAAUAUUGCACAAUGGGCGCAAGCCUGAUGCAGCGACGCCGCGUGAGGGAUGACGGCCUUCGGGUUGUAAACCUCUUUCAGCACCGACGAAGCGCAAGUGACGGUAGGUGCAGAAGAAGGACCGGCCAACUACGUGCCAGCCGCCGCAGUAA